rnacentral:tRNA from 1 species
GGGGUUGUGGCUCACUGGUAGAGCGCUCACCUUGCAUGUGAGCUUUUUACAUGUGAAGCAGUGUAUUCGAUCCUCAGCACCA